rnacentral:rRNA from 1 species
AAGAGAGAGUUAAAGAGGACGUGAAACCGAUGAGGUGGAAACGGAUAGAGCUUGCGUAUCUGGCCUGUAUUCAGCCAUUUUUUUGCUGACCUCCAUUAGCUGGCACUCCAGAUUGGGACGGCUGUUGGGGCGCUUUGGUGACAAAGUGGUGCAUUUGCAGGUGGAGUGCGGUAGAGGCGAAUGGAAUGGCGGCAUCAACUCAGCCUUGAGGCCAGCUUGCUGGUACCUAGACUCUGGGGUAGUGUUGUUCUUUCUGCUUGUAUUUUUGCAUGGCUUACAGACUUGUACGGGCUCCGAGCUGACAGUCAGAAGCGGUCGCAUGCGACACGUGCUGUACAAUCAGUUCGGUCCUGCACGAGCUCUCUUGCAUAUCCUCUGCGUAAAAGCUGGUCAUCUAUCUGACCCGUCUUGAAACACGGACCAAGGAGUUUAUCGUGUGCGCAAGUCAUUGGGCGUUAAAAACCCAGAGGCGCAAUGAAAGUGAACGUUUCCGCAAGGAACUGACGUGCGAUCCGGAGCACCACGGUGCUUGGGUGCAGCAUGGCCCCAUCCUGACUGCAUGCAGUGGGGUGGCGGAAGAGCGUACGCGGUGAGACCCGAAAGAUGGUGAACUAUUCCUGAGCAGGAUGAAGCCAGAGGAAACUCUGGUGGAAGUCCGAAGCGGUUCUGACGUGCAAAUCGAUCG